AAAGCGUGCGCAGGCGGUUUUGUAAGUCUGACGUGAAAUCCCCGGGCUCAACCUGGGAAUUGCGUUGGAGACUGCAAGGCUGGAGUCUGGCAGAGGGGGGUAGAAUUCCACGUGUAGCAGUGAAAUGCGUAGAGAUGUGGAGGAACACCGAUGGCGAAGGCAGCCCCCUGGGUCAAGACUGACGCUCAUGCACGAAAGCGUGGGGAGCAAACAGGAUUAGAUACCCGUGU
rnacentral:rRNA from 1 species